rnacentral:misc_RNA from 1 species
GGACCACAGCCAUGGGGGGGAGAGGUCGGGCGUCGACCUUGGGCGCGGCCAGGGAAGGUGGGGGCGCGCCCGGACACCCAGGGAGAAGAGCGCCAUAGAUCAAGCGUGGAUGGGGGAAGGAAGGAGAGGGGCACUAUGGUUGGGAGCUCGACGACCAUGGGAGGUCCCUGCGCACACAAAGGAACAGAGGGAAGAAACAGUGGGGAGGGAAAUGGAGGACGCCGUGGGGUGGUGCCAUGGAGGCCCUGCUCCUGCGCUGGCUGCUGCUGCCGUGAGCAGCGAGGAAGAAGGCAAGGAGUAUGGCUGGUGGCGGCUAGGGAAAAAUGGAGGGUGGGAG